GAUUGUAUAUAUGCACUAACAGAUUGGAUUGCUACAAGAAAAGAGAGAAAACCAAAAAGAAAAGCAAGUAGCAAGUCAAUAACAAAUACCAAUACAUCUGGAUAAAACUGUGAUGGCUACACUGUAUUUUCAGAAAUGUUAUCUCAAUUGAACUUUAAAACUGCCUUGUGAUGGAAGAUGGCACCUUUCCUGAUAAUGUCAAAAUUCAUUUCUCAAAACUUGAAAAACUGGCAGUAGCACAUUAAAGAUGAACAAAUUCCAACAGAAAUAGGAAUACACUUAAAGUAGAGGACAUACCUUUAAAACAUCUAAAAAUUUUUGUUGGACAGAUAGUACUUAUUCAUUAUAGUAAAAAAAAAAAAUUAGAAAAUACUGAAAAGGAGAGAUCACCUCUAAACUCACCACCCUUACUAUGGGAAUUUUCAAAAAUUUAUAAGACGGUGAAUAUAAUGAAUCCCCUUGUAGGACCACGCAUGUUUAACAAUUAUCAACAUUCUGACAAUCUUGUUAUCUAUUGCCUCACUCUGUCCCAACACAUACAGUGUGACAAGUGGUACUGAAAUAUUUUAAAUCAAAUUUCACCUAUCAGAAAGUUCCCGUUGUGGCUCAGCCGGUUAUGAACCCGACACAGUGUCUUUGAGGAUGUAGGUUUGAUUCCUGGCCUCGUUCAGUGGAUUAAGGACCCGCAUUGCUGCAGAUCCAGUGUUGCUAUGGCUAUGGUGUAGACUGGCAGCUGAAGCUUGGAUUUGACCCCUAGUCCAGGAACUUCCAUGUGCCGCAGGUGUGGCCUUAAAAAAAAAAAUUGCCUAUUAUAAACUUCACCAGAAAAUAUUUCACUGUGCCUCUCGAACAGACAGGUUUAAAAAUAUAUAUAUUGUCACAGCGCCAUUGUCAUACACAGCAAAAUUAAUUAUUACUUAAUAUAAUUUCUCUGAUUUUCUCAAAAAUGUAUUUUAACAGUUGGGUUUUGUUUGUUUGGGAAUGAGGAUACGAAUACGGAUUUUGUGACAAGUCAAAUUUUUAGGUCUAUCAUUGCUUCUCCUUCUACUUAGUUUUAUGACUUUUAUUGUUGAAGAAAUUAGGUCUAUUAUUCUGAAGAAUUUCCCAUGUUUUGGAUUUGGUUGAUUGCAUCCUUUGUGGUAUCAUUUGACUUUAUGCUCUUGUUCUUUCCUUUAAAUUGUUUUGCAACUUGGUAGUUACAUCUAGUCUUGGUGUAUAAAUUUAUUAUAUACACUUUAUUUCUAUAAAAAUAAGAUGUACUCCCUUUAGUUUUUGUAACUUGCUUUUAUACUUCAUAUAUCAUAUAUAUAAAAGAAAGCACUGGGGAGAAAACCAUUGAGCCUUUUUGACUUUUAAAAAUUUGGAGAAUAAUAAAAUAAUUUAAAAAUAUAAUAAAGGUUUUAGGAGAAAAAUUAAACAAAAGAUAAUAAAAUAAUUCUCAAAAUUAUAGAAUUCAAUGCAAUGCUCUAGGAAACAGAAAACAAAAGGCAGGGAGAGUGAAAAUCAGGGUAAGGGAGUUUAGUUGGCAAAAGAGGGAAUAUAAAGGAGAAAAGAAGCACUACACUGAAACUAGAAAAUGUUACAGCUAUGAGGGGAGAUCACAAAACACCCUAGCUUGGUGAAUGAAGUUCAAUUCCUAGAAGAACCACAGAAGGAAGGUUCCAGGAGACGCAGACAUGGACAUCUUUUGGAGGCCAUUAUUCUGCCAACCACAACAUGGAAAGAGUAGAAGGUAGAACCUUUUUAAGAAGCUGGGAUAUAAUUGUUACUAUUUUUCGAUAAGAAGACGAUACUAUGGCCUAUCAGGAGUAUGGUGAUAUAUACAUUUUUUGCUCUUUCUAAAUUUUUCUGUCAUCAGUAUUAUCUUUAAGAAAAAUAAUGGGUCAGAAAAUUGGAUUGAUAUGAUGAUCACCUGUGAGGUACUACAGUUAAUAGUAUGUUAGAGUUCUAGUGGCAGUUUCUGUUAAUGAACAUUUUUUUAAAAGAAAGAAAAAUAAUAAACCUUGCAUUUAAAACAGUAACAAUAUUAAGUAUGUAUAUAUAAAUAAGAAACUUCACUGAGAAAAAUAAUAUUUGAAAAAGAUACGCAUACUAAGUCUUGAAAUUCAGUUGUUUCAGAAUUCAUUUAGAAGUUAAUGUUAUUUUUUAUAAAGUUACAAUGGGAAGCAUUUUUAUUUUCAUUUGGAAUUUAACCACAUUUUAACAAAACGCAUUUGGUAAACAAUCUAAACAACUUAAGACUAUUUUGAAAAAAGAUGAGAUGGUGGGAAAGGAUUUUUCCCAUCGGCUAUAAAUGACAUGCUUUGAAACUGCAACUCAUAAAACUGAAGUAGAUAUAUCAGAAAUAGGUCAUACCUAGAGCACUAUUCUGAAUCAAAUACUACUGGUAUAUGUAAAACAUGGUACCUGUUUGCAGAAGGAAGGCAAAUAAAUGUUUGUAUUGGGUAUUUGCCAAGGAGAUCCAAGGUUUGAUAGGGAAGAGAAACCUCAGAGUUCAUUGAACUUGUUAAAAAUUAAACACGAUGGAAAUUUACUCCUUCUUAGCCAAACUGUUAUGCCUUUUAGAAAAGUUAAUUUCUCAUCAUUGAAAGACAUUUUUAUUAUUGAAAGUUGUCAGCUUUAGAAGUCGUGAAACUUCACUCAGAUACUUAUCUCACUAUGUCUCAAAGGAUUUUGAUUUUUUUUAAAGAUGUUUUUUCUAGUGUUCCCACUGUGGCACAACAGGAUCAGCAGCAUCUUGGGACCACUGGGACACAGGUUCGAUCCCCAGCCUGGCACAGUGGGUUGCAGAUCUGGAGUUGUCACAGCUGUGCCUUAGGUCACAACUGUGGUUCAGAUCUGAUCCUUGGCCUAAGAACUCCAUAUGCCAGGGGGCGGACAAAAAAGAAAAAAAUAAAAGAUAUAUUUUUUUUCUGAAAUUUUUUAUACCGCCAAAACUACAUCUAGCAUUUGGAAAAUCUUAUUUUAAAACUCCGUAUAUCCAAGAAACUCAUUCAAACUCUCCAACUUUUAUUUAACAUCUAUUAAAUCUCAACCAGCCAGUCUACCACAGUCAAAUAGGUGAUUUGACAAAAUCACAUUUACUGACUUGCAAGCUUGGGUGCACUCUCCAGAAGAACCUCGGAUAGCAUUUUACAUAGGGCAGAAGGGUGCCAUCUUUUUAAGAUUUAGGUUCCUACUGAAGGAUUCUGAGGAAGCUUGCAAGAAAGGAAGACCAGUUCUGGGUUGGAUGCUUUUUCUGCAGCAGGAUUAGGAGAAGCAGGGAUUACCUAGGGACUGGGUGCUAUCAUGAGGUAAGAAUGGUACAGUAAUUGAGUAUCCCAGUUAAUAGAUGGGUGAGGAUAGUAAGGCAGGUCUGGAAGCAUUAUUAGUAACAAAGCAGUGGUCAUAUAAAGAGGGGUCAUGAUGGCAUUCUAUAGCUAUUUGACAUUGGAGGAAUUAAUGUUUUCCUUCAACUUUUCAGUUGGCUUUAUCUGUGUCUGUCUUCCCAACCAAAUUGAAGGCAGGGCUACUUUUUUCUUUUUCAGCCCAAGCUGAUUUUCAGUCCUUCUUCAGUUACAGACAUAUUUUACUCUUUCACAACUACAGAAGCAACCCCAGUUUAAUUCUGUUAACAGCUUCUGAAAAUAACUAAUCUGUGAUAACCAAUUUUAUUUUAACAAUUCAACACAAAAACAGUGUGGAUUUAUGUGGUUGUUAUUCAAAAUUACGCUAUGAAGACAUGAAUUCAUGACUAGGAAAAUUCAGUGUCAGUCUGUUUUAGAGUUUGGUGUCGAGCUUCAGCAUAAAGGAGAGAGAAAAUAAAACCACUGGAGACAAAUUCUAACAGUAGAUCAGAUAUGGAACCAGGCCAUGGGUGGGUGAGGGAGAGGAGAAAUCCUCUAAAAGUGUGAACAACUGAGCACAUAAUACCAUAUUCUUCUUUCAUUAUCUUCUUUACAUAGCUUUUUGCAGCCCAACACUGAUAUUCCAGUCACCAUUUUCCAAAUGCUUCCCCUCAUGUCUUUCCUUCUUUUAGUCUUGAGGACCUUUGGAAAGGAGUCCUCCUAGUAAGUAGAAGACUCAGAGAAAGCAAUGAAUUCACCAGCUAUGUUCUGUGCUCCUCUCUUCCAUCCUUCCUUACCAACUUCCCCUUCCCAACCCUCUAUCCCUCCCUCUUCUUUGCUCCAAGAUACAUUCCCACUUACUCCCCUCCCAUGGGGAGAGAUCAGUUGGAAAUGAAUACAGGCAAAGAAAUAUCAAGGGUAUUCUACUACAUAAGAAAGAAAGGGUUAGAUUUGUGGAUGAAUAUCUUUGAGGGGCUGCUGAAAUUGGAACCAGGGCAAUGCGGAAUUGGCCUGUAAAAGUGUUUACAUAACUACUAGAUAAAGUCAACAUAAAACUCCUAGGUAAGGAAAAAAAACAUUAGCCCCAAGAGAAGGGUACAGAGAAUAAGAAUCUCUAUAUGUGCACAAACUGAAAUUAAGCAGCAGAAAAUUGGGAUGGGCAAGAGAGGACUCAUUAUAUUGACAAAGAAUCUUAUGAAAUGUAAAGGGAAAUUACAGAAUUGUUCUCAGAAACAUGAGCUCUUUGGAAUUUCAGCAUUUUGAAAGCAUAGUUUUGUACAAGGUUUGGUAGACAAAUGAUCCUGAAAUGUGAACUACAUCCUAAAAAAUGGAACAGAAAAAGCAGUGACAAUUUGAGUCUACAGGAGUUAUAAUGUUGUGCUAUUUAAUAUUUGUGGGGCCCUGUUGGUGUGGUGGUAAGAAGAAAGUCAUGAAAGUUGAAUUAAAUCAGUGGUAAAAGAUGUGCACCUUAACUAUAUUUUUGUUAGACAUUAUUAACAUCUGUGAUUUCUAGUAGUAACUUAAAGGGAAAUUCAUAUUUCAUAUUGUGAAAUAAGUUCUAAACACUUUUUCUAUUGAGGGAAGGGCAGAAAACAAGUAGGAUUGAUUGACAUAUUAAAAAUGAACUCGUUUAAAUACCUGGUGCAGUGGAAAUUUAGGGAUUUGUCUUUUUGAGUUUGGAUAAACACAAUUUGAAAAUGGUAUUAAGGAAAUAAGAAUGCUAUCUAAUUUGUGGCAUAUUUGUAUCUAGAUAAUAUAUUGAGCCCCUAACUGCAAAAGUUGAAACAUUCUGGUUCAAAAUAUCUAACUACAAGAUAUUUUUCUUUAACAUCCAAGAAAUGUAAUUAAAAUCAAUGACAUAUAGAAGAGUGUUAAG
rnacentral:lncRNA from 1 species